rnacentral:rRNA from 1 species
AUUGAACGCUGGCGGCAUGCUUUACACAUGCAAGUCGAACGGUAACAGGCCGCAAGGUGCUGACGAGUGGCGAACGGGUGAGUAAUGCAUCGGAACGUGCCCAGUCGUGGGGGAUAACUACUCGAAAGAGUAGCUAAUACCGCAUACGAUCUAUGGAUGAAAGCGGGGGACCGUAAGGCCUCGCGCGAUUUGAGCGGCCGAUGUCAGAUUAGGUAGUUGGUGGGGUAAAGGCUCACCAAGCCAACUAUCUGUAGCUGGUCUGAGAGGACAACCAGCGACACUUAGACUGAGACACCGCCCACACUCCUACAGGAGUCGACAGAGUCGAUAGUUGGAGGAGAAGGGCAAGAAAGAACGAGCAACGCCGGCUGCAGGAAGAAAGGCUUCGUGUUGUAAACUUCUUUUAGAAGGAACGAAACGGUUAUGUUUAAUACAAGCAGUUAAUGACGGUACCGUAAGAAUAAGCACCGGCUAACCACGUG